rnacentral:rRNA from 1 species
CCCUUAGAUGUCCUGGGCCGCACGCGUGCUACACUGAUGCAUGCAACGAGUUUAUAACCUUGGCCUGAAAGGUCUGGGUAAUCUUUUGAACGUGCAUCGUGAUAGGGAUAGAUUAUUGCAAUUGUUAAUCUUGAACGAGGAAUUCCUAGUAAACGCGAGUCAUCAGCUCGCAUUGAUUACGUCCCUGCCCUUUGCACACACCGCCCGUCGCACCUACCGAUUGAAUGGUUCGGUGAAGAUCUCGGACUUCGAUAUUUAUUCUUUAUUGAGUUUAUAUUGUGGGAAGUUAUCUAAACCUCAUCAUUUAGAGGAAGGUGAAGUCGUAACA